rnacentral:rRNA from 1 species
UACGAGUGCCUCAAGCGUUAUCCGGAAUCAUUGGGCGUAAAGGGUUUGUAGGUGGUCAUGUUAGUCUCCUGUUAAAUAUCCCGGCUUAACCGGGAAAAUGCGGGGGAAACGGCAUGACUAGAGGAUGCAAGGGGUCUGCGGAACUCAUAGUGUAGCGGUGAAAUGCGUUGAUAUUAUGGGGAACACCAAAAGCGAAGGCAGCAGACUGGGGCACUCCUGACACUGAAAAACGAAAGCGUGGGUAGCGAAUGGG